CAGCCGCCACGGUAAUACGAAGGGGGCUAGCGUUGUUCGGAAUCACUGGGCGUAAAGCGCACGUAGGCGGAUAUUUAAGUCAGGGGUGAAAUCCCAGAGCUCAACUCUGGAACUGCCUUUGAUACUGGGUAUCUUGAGUAUGGAAGAGGUGAGUGGAGUUCCGAGUGUAGAGGUGAAAUUCGUAGAUAUUCGGAGGAACACCAGUGGCGAAGGCGGCUCACUGGUCCAUUACUGACGCUGAGGUGCGAAAGCGUGGGGAGCAAACAGGAUUAGAUACCCCAGUAGUCCCUGUCUCUUAUAC
rnacentral:rRNA from 1 species